rnacentral:rRNA from 1 species
CGCCAUGCAUUGAGUGGAUGCCGCGGCGGGGUAGAGAUGGACGGGAGAGCCGGUCGAAAGGCCAUGGGGAGAGGUGCGAUCGGUGAUCCAUGGAUAUCCAGUGAUCGGGGAACCGGCAAUCAUCGAUGAGCCGCACGCCAUCGAAACACGGGCACAUAGCGAACUGAAACAUCUCACUAGCUAUUGGACCCUCCAUUUUCCAACCGAGGAUCCGUCGGUACGCGGGGAGCGAACGCGGACGCGGGUGUGCGAGCUGGGGCUCGACCGACAAUGACACGACGAAGGGGCUUGAACAUCUCGCCGUAGACGGUGAAAGCCCGGGGCAUGAAACGGUCUAGCCGGUCGAAUGCAGUAAAGCGCGCAAACCGUGCUUGAACCUUAUUAGACCCAUGGGGACCCACCCUCUCACCCACGAAUCCCCCCAUCGACCGAUAGCGCUCAAGUACCGUGAGGGAAUGGUGGACCGGCCCUACGCAAGGGAGCGACUUCGAGAACUGAACCUCGAUGCUGAUCGAUCAGUCGGGACUGGCCGGGGUGCCAAACCACCCGACCUUCAAAAGCACGGUGGGGACCCGACCCACGGCGUACCUUUUGCAUAAUGGGUCAGCGAGUCGUGGGGAAGCAGCGGCUUAAGCCGGUAGGUGUAGGUUCGACCACGGUGGCUGUGGUCCCGCCGGUCCCCGUCUAACCCGAACCCGAUUGAUCUAGCCAUCCGCAGGUUGAUGGGGGCGUACAGCCCAAUCGUCGGAAGACCGCACCCCGGCAUGUGGCAGAAUGCGGGGAUGACGGGUGGCUAGGGGUGAAAGGCCAACCAAGAUCGGAGAUAGCUGGUUUUCCGCGAAAUCUAUUUAUGUAGAGCGCCGAUGCUACGUUGGCCCGGGGUAGAGCACCGGCGGGGCACGGCUGGCCAUUCCCGAGCGCCACCGUGCCCGUGGCAACACCGAAUACGGGCCGCCUCGCGGAUCCGUCCGUGCAGACAGAGUCUGGGUGCGAAGAUCCGGGCUCGAAAGGGGAAUAGCCCAGAUCGUCCGCUAAGGUCCCGAAGCGAUCACUGCGUGGGGAUACACGAGAGUGAAGGGCGUGAUCCGGCGAUGACCCCCAGCGGUGGGCUUGGAAGCAGCCAUCCCGUAAGAGAAAGCGUACUGGCUCACUGGGAGAGCGGGUCCGACCGAGGAUGAUCGGGGCGGAAGUGAGGAUCACCGAAGCGACGGGACCAACCACGAUCGAGAGCAGAGCCGGCCGCCGUGCCGGCGCGCAUCGAGUAGUGUCCGUAGCGGAACGUUCUGUUCGCCUACCCCCGGAUGACCGGGCGGGUGGAUCGCACAGAAGUGAGAAUGCUGACAUGAGUAAUGAUAAAUGGAGAGUGAAACUCGCAUCGCCAGCAGUUGCCGGGUUUCCGCGUGCAAUGGAACUACGCGGGGUUACUCGGCCCCCGAGAGGCGCCGAUCGGGCCCACGAUGGGGACGCCAACGCCAAGGAGCCAAGCGAGAACGUCGUAUCGACUGCCGCGACCGGAGGGGGUUCGAUCGAUGGGCACGGUGGAGCGGGGAACCGCCCGUUCCCCCUUUCGGCACGGGAUCCGCGGGCAGAGCGGACACUUCGGAAAGGAAGGGGGCCAGUCAUGGUCGAGCAGCACCGGUCACCGCUCCCCGACGAUCGCUAUGCACGGCCGGUGAUCCACAACCCCUGGGCGGCUAUCGGAUCGUCUCCAAACCCAUCGUGGUCCCCGCCCCGGGUGUUGGGGAGCGGGCUCUCCACAUCCCCCCCUCUCACGUAAACCCGGUGUACCGCCCCGACGUAUUCGCCGUAACUGAACCCGACACUGGGUUACUGGUGAAGGACACUGAGGCGCGUGAGAACCAUGCUGAAGGAACUAGGCAAAAUGACCCCGUAACCUCGGGAGAAGGGGGUUCCACGGGAAUGGACCGGAGGGGGGCACGGAACCGGGGGUAGCGACUGUUUAUUAAAAACACAGGACUCUGCGAAGUGCGAACACGACGUAUAGAGUCUGAAACUUGCCCGGUGCCGGAAGGUGAAGAGGAGAGGUUACGCAGCCUCGAAUCGAAUUCCCGGUAAACGGCGGCAGUAACUCUAACUGUCCUAAGGUAGCGAAAUUCAUUGUCGCAUAAGUAGCGACCUGCACGAAUAGUGUAACGACUGCCCCGCUGUCUCCAGCAUGGGCCCAAUGAAAUUGACCUCUCCGUGAAGAUGCGGAUUGCCCACGGCUAGACGGUAAGACCCCGUGCACCUUUACUAUAGCUUUGCACGGGCACCAUGGUUCGACCGCCGAGCAUAGGUGGGAUGGGUUACCGAUCGUGAAAUACCACUCCAGCGUGAUCCAGUGUGCCAAACUCGCAUCCCCACCCGGGAUGGGCGGACCCGGCAUGGUGGGUAGUUUCUCUGGGGCGGAUGCCCCCCAAAGAGUAACGGGGGCGCGCACACGGCGGGCUGGACCGAAUCCGGGCUGGGUUGUGCAGCGCACGGGUAUAAGCCCGCCUGACUGUGAGACCAACCGGUCGAACAGAGACGCAAGUCGGCCCGAGUGAUCCGGGAGCCCGGUGUGGAAUGGCUCCCGCUCGACGGAUCAAAGGUACGCCGGGGAUAACAGGCUGAUGACUCCCCAGAGCUCUGAUCGACGGAUUCGCUUGGCACCUCGAUGUCGACUCAUCACCUCCUGGGGUGGGAGCCGGCCCCAAGGGUUCGGUUGUUCGCCGAUUUAAGUGGUACGUGAGUUGGGUUUAGAACGUCGUGAGACAGUUCGGUUUCUAUCUACCGAGGGAUCGGAUCGAGAACUGCCAGAUAAGCCCCCCAGUACGAGAGGACGGGGAGCGUGCAACCCCUGGUGUACCGGUUGUACGGCCGAGUGCAGCGCCGGGUGGCUACGUUGGUCCGGACAAACGGCUGAAGGCAUAUAAGCCGGAAGUCACUCUAAAGACCGGUUCUCCGGCUGAUGGGUGGGAGAGCACCACUUCGAUGGGCGAGAGGUGUGGCCACCGCAACGUGAAUAAGCCGACUCGUCCCAAGCAGACCGAACCCGGUGCU